GGGUAGUUUGACUGGGGCGGUCUCCUCCUAAAGAGUAACGGAGGAGCACGAAGGUUGGCUAAUCCUGGUCGGACAUCAGGAGGUUAGUGCAAUGGCAUAAGCCAGCUUGACUGCGAGCGUGACGGCGCGAGCAGGUGCGAAAGCAGGUCAUAGUGAUCCGGUGGUUCUGAAUGGAAGGGCCAUCGCUCAACGGAUAAAAGGUACUCCGGGGAUAACAGGCUGAUACCGCCCAAGAGUUCAUAUCGACGGCGGUGUUUGGCACCUCGAUGUCGGCUCAUCACAUCCUGGGGCUGAAGUAGGUCCCAAGGGUAUGGCUGUUCGCCAUUUAAAGUGGUACGCGAGCUGGGUUUAGAACGUCGUGAGACAGUUCGGUCCCUAUCUGCCGUGGGCGCUGGAGAACUGAGGGGGGCUGCUCCUAGUACGAGAGGACCGGAGUGGACGCAUCACUGGUGUUCGGGUUGUCAUGCCAAUGGCACUGCCCGGUAGCUAAAUGCGGAAGAGAUAAGUGCUGAAAGCAUCUAAGCACGAAACUUGCCCCGAGAUGAGUUCUCCCUGACUCCUUGAGGGUCCUGAAGGAACGUUGAAGACGACGACGUUGAUAGGCCGGGUGUGUAAGCGCAGCGAUGCGUUGAGCUAACCGG
rnacentral:rRNA from 1 species